AGUAUUGCAAUGUCUCUUGGAAUCAUGGCUCUGAAGAUGAGGAGAGAAGCGGGAUGGGCAGUUUGUGUGGUGAGGAGGCUGGCUGCAGGUAGGCUGGGAGGGAAUGUCACACAUAGUUUUCUUUCUCCUUUAAGCCGAAUGAGGUAUGCUGGUCAAAGGAACUUGGGGAAGGAGGAUGGUGAGGGGAAUGAAGUUCUUCUUCCUAUUGAUUGUUUUGUUGCACCAGAGGCUGUUUGUCCAAGGCCACUGGCCAAGAGCAUUAUUUUCGUGGCUAAAGUGAGGUUGGGCAGGUUUCCCAUCCCUUUCACUAGUUUUGAACAAGACAACCCAGAAAGCGCAGCAAGGCUCUGGGAAUAUGAUGUGGGUUGGCUUUUCCUACUCAGCUGCACCUUAAAGCGCCAGGCCGAUGGGCUGAUACUUCUCAAACCCUGAAUCAUUGCCUCCAGCUCUGUCCUGGGUUCAGGAUGCACCACUCCACCCUCUGUGUAGCUUGGGGUCAACUUCGGGGCGUCACUCCAAUAGUAAUUAUUGCUGCGUUUGGCUGGACAUCCUUAUUACGGCCUGGGUCCCUCUCAGCUGGAAACUGGGCUCCUUCAGUUUGGCUGGGGUGACUUCUAGCACUUCCCGCCGCCCCACCUUACCCCCCUGCGCGCUCCCUUCCCAAGGCGACCACCUGCACCGCCCCACUUACCAUCUGCCCCGCGGGGAGGGCCCCCCGGGCUAGCGGAGCCCUCCCUGCUCCCGGGCGGCUCUGGAGGAGCUCGGUGUUUGCCUCUAGCCCUUCGCUACCGGAGGAUCAGGUUCCUCCCCUCCUCCCCCUCCAGCUCCGGCCGCCGCCGCCGCCGCCGCCGCCUCCUUCUUGCAUGACACAGCAGAACCGCAGCUGCUGCAGCAAUUUCAAGCCAUCCGCCCAGGAAGCGCCGCAACCGGGACUCGGGAGGGGUGGAGGGGGCGAGGCAGAGGCCGCGGCCCCAGGGGAUCCUUGGCCCCACUGUGCACCACACACUCCUUUCCCAGCCCAGGGGCACGCGAACAAAAUGAGGCUCAAGCUGACCAGGCCGAGCCGGAGGAACGCUGGGGCUUGGCAGCAGAAGGGAUGGGACCAGAGAGAAGGGUGUGGAGGAGACCCCAGUGAGGGCCAGGACAUUUCAGGUAAAGAGAGGUCAUAUCUCCGUACCUCACUUCCUGACACAAACAAGUUUUCACUGUUGUCAGCAACAAAGCCCUAAUAUAGCUGCGGAAGAGAAAAACUGCAUUGCAUUUUGCCUCCUGCAAGCAUCAUCAACAGUUACUGGAGGAACGUAAUUCCAGAAAGCUUGAAAGCCGUGGUGAUGGUAAUUAUGUAUCAAAUGCCUGGUUCUAUUUCUGUUAUUAUUGUUUUGUCAUUUCUGUUUUCCCAGCGAUCUGACUGAACUCGCAGAGGGACAAAUCCAGUUUUUCUUUUUGACUUUUGUCAAACUAAAUCAGGCCUGAUAGAAAACUCAUUGCUCUCCGGGGAAACAAAGUAGGAGCCACGAAAUGUCAUUUUAACAGAGCGUGGGUUUGGUGACUGUAGGAAAGGAUUUGAGGACGCUCCUUCUGUUCGGCUUCCUAUGUCAUGAGCACAGGCUCCACGCACGCACAGACACCACGGCUCCCGGAUGCUGUGGCUCCCCGAUCGGGGCUCCUGCAGCGCCAGAAGCCCCUCCGGGAUGCUUCGAGGGGCUCCCGGUGGGUGGAGGUACGGACGCCGCUGCGGCCGCCGCCGCCAGUCCUGCUGCUGUUGUUGCUGCUGCAGUCACGUGGGAGCCCCUUUAAGUUUCCAUAGAGAGGCCUCUCUGGUGUCACAUGAUGGACAUGAUAUAAUGAAACAACAUUGUGGAGAGGAAAGCAUUAGGGGAGCCCACGGCUACAAAAACAAGUGAGUGAGAAGAGGUGGGAGGAAGAGAAACUACGCCACCUCCCCUGCAGCCGAGUGCACGCAGCAGCCUGGCGUGACAAGUGGGCGACGCCGGGGGGCAGGGAGCCGGGGUCCUUGGCCCUGGCCGGGGACCCCACCGCCCACCGCGCGGAGGACAACUUUUAGCCGGCAGCCCAGACCAGCGCGGCACCUGUCUCCGGAGUCUCCACCGCUCCUCCCGAUUCAUCCCAGGGAAAUUCUCAAGAAUACGCUCUACAAAUCUACGUGCGCAUCAUUUUCACCUCGCGUCGCGCCCGGGAGGAAGGAACGAGGCAAGGAGCUAAAGCAGCGUGCGUUCAGCCCUGGGGCAUUUUAUUAAUGCUUUUACGAGUUAGAAGAGUUGGGAUAAUUUGCCAUCUGGAGUUUCUCUGCCUUGCUGAUCUGAGCUCAGACCUGCCAAUUUACCAGAGAUAAUUGAUAACACCCUGUAACAGCUGAGAGGAAAAUGGAAGAAACGGAGAUACUUUUAGUGAAGCAGAAUAAACCACUGAACAGGAAAAAUGAGGAAGCUGUGAGUACCAGUGGAAGGAACGAGCCAGGAAGAGGGACUGGAACCAUCUCAGAAGCCAUGCCCCUCAGGCUGGAACUUGCCCUGUCUCCUCGCAGAUGAGGUAGGAGGCUCAGCACGGGCUGGUGGGAGCAGCCCACAGCAGCAGUGAGGGUCAGUGGGCCUGUGAGUUAAGAAGAAGGUGGCACAGAGCGAGGGUCUCUGGAUCCUGACUGUUUGACUUUUCCAUGAUUAGGAUAAGUAGCCAGGGCUUGGCUAGUUGGAGAGUUACUCGAACCUCAGGUGACAGUUGUAAGGCAGCACAUAGUGAAAAAGAGUCCUAGCCUGGGAAAGUCCAAAACCUUAGGUCUGGUUUCAGUUCACUCACCUAUCUCUGUGACAUAGCAAAGUCUGUUAAUUUCUCUAAUUUUCUGAUUAGUAGUAUAGUUGCAGGAAUGAAAUAAAAAUGGUCCUGAUUACUCAGAGAUUCAUUUACUGAUUACUCUUUUUGUGACCUGAAUAAAGAGUACAACAUCUCUCAAAAGGUAACAAUAUGAUGUUUCAGGAAAUUAGAGAAGUUAAGAGACUUUGCUGUAUUUACUAUACAGAUAGUUGACUGACAGCUGAGCCCGGACCCAAGAUUCAUUUAUAAAAUGAAGGAGUUGAGAAGUACAUACUCUGAGGUUUAUCCUAAAUAAACUGAAGUCUAGGCAAGUGGCUGAGCUAGGUUUGCCAUGAAUCAAUCUGCUGAGUAUAUUUCUUGGUAACUAGUUCAUCUUUCCUUAAUUCAGUCAACAAAUAUGAUAUCAAGUUUAGUAAGAUGAUGACAGUUGUCAUGUAAUACUCCAUCUGGAAGAUUGUAUGCUUCUCAGCUUCCCUAACUUUUCUUAAUCUACCUUAAGCUUCCUUUCUGAAAGGUUUCUGUCUUUCCUAACAGUCUCUUCUUUCCGCCAGCUACCUCUUGUGUUUAAGAAUUAAAGGAAGAUGAGCUAGGAAUCAAGAAAUACGCAGAACUGAUUCCUGUCACUGGCGCCACCCUGCCACUUGCCCAGAGCUGUGGUAUAAAUUUUUUUAAUAGGCUGAAAUAAAAAUAUGAAUAGCAUUUUGGUAUUAAGCAUUAAAUUGAUAAAGGCUAUGAGAUACACCUGCUCUCAACCAUGUUAAUUUUUUAUUAUUGGUAUUAAUAAAUUAUUACUUACUAACAUAUUAACAAGAAUUGCAUUGAGAAACAAAGCAUCCACAGGCCAAAUCUUCUGAAUUUCAAAUGUUUAUAUUAAUGCGUUGUAUUCUAGAAAAGUAGAAUUGUCUUAAGUAGCUUUGUAAUAUAAAGUCAUCUAUCAGCCCAUUACACCUAUUAGAAUGUUUUAACCUUUAUUUCCCACUUUUUUGUUUCUAGACUGAGUGUACUUGGUCUGGUAUUUGUGGCAUAACUUACGGAACACAUAAGAAUGAUACAGAUACUAUUUAAUGAUGACCUAAUACAAGCUUAGAUAGCUAAGGUGAAAGCUUCUAUGGCCUUAACAUUUUCCUCUUGAAGAAUGUAUUUUCUGUAAUAAAAUACAGUGGCUACUUGAAAUCUAUAAACUUAUGUGAGGUCUGGAUAAAUCUGAGCAACUUUCUUCUUUGUGCUCCAGGAACCUACGCACUAUAUAUAUAAAUAAAGCUUAAGUAAACAUCACUGCAAUCUGUGUUUUGUUUGAUUAUAUUACGUAUUGCCUGAUCUUUAAAUAAUGAUGAAAAAUAGCCUUUAACAUAAACCAUGAAUGGAUAUGCACUUGAGGGAAACAGUUUCUUGGAUAAUUAAACUUUAAUUUCUCACCGUGGAUUCCUUGGAUCUUGUAAUAUUUUUUAAAACAGUCCUGGGGAUUUAUUUUUAAGGCGUCCAAAUGAAUUAUUAGUUCUCAAAAGCCAUAGUAUAUUCAUGGGUCGAUAUAUCCUCAAAACACUAUUUUUAAACUGCUUAGUUUAUUUUUCUUAGCGUGCUCAUCUGCUGCAUAAUUUUCUUUGCUAUGUAUGGGUCACAUGCUUCCUCCCGUCCAUAACUCACGCACUUAAAAUUCUCACUUCCUGAUUGAGCCAUCAGAUUACGUAAAAUGUAAAUCAGCCUGAAUACCUAGGAGCAGGAAUUUUAAGGGAGAAAAUGCCGUUUUCUUUUUCUGUGUCAUUAUUAACCCUUAAAUAUCAGAGUGAGUGUCUGCUCACCUAUUUGUAUUUGGAAACGAGAUACUGUUAGGGGUUUUUCUUGGCCCUUCCCUUUCAGAUUGAAUCAGACUUUGCUGCUUUCCUUAUACAAAAUAAUGUACCAACUAGAUAGACGGUGGGAGUGGUAUCGUUGCAGGAAUGAAACCAAAAGGGUUCCGAUGAUUGAGAGAGAUUCAUUUAUUUUUUAACUCUUCUCAUGAUCUGAAUGAAGAGUACAGCAUCUAUCAAAAGGUAACAACCUAAUAUUUCAGAAUUGCAAGUGGCCAUUUAGCCUUUCUGCUGCCUGAUAUAAAUGAAAGUAAUUCCUAGCAGGCAGGAUGACACUUGUUUUAUCACGAAUCUGACAAUCCAGCACAUUUUCUCAAGCAAUUUUGAAGUUGUCGUAGUAACAGCAUGGCAUUUGGAGGGUCUUUUUAGUAGUUCUUUAGCUAGAGUUAAUUAAUUGUAUUAACUCUGGAUGUUUUUCUUUUUACUCCUCUUUGACAAACAAGGGCUAUAAUUGCUCAAAUAUGUAUUUUGUGUUCUAUAUUUUUUGGUGACUAUAGUUUAAGGACGUGAUGUUUUUAAGUGGUUUCAGUAAAAGGUUAUCAGUUGAUUUCAGACACAUUAAACUUGGGUUUUUAAUUUCUCUGUAAAAUUCCACUAUCAUUGUAGGACCAGGAUUUAGUUUUAUUUAAGAAGUGAAUCUGGGGAGAUAUUUGCACAAAUUGAAUUGUGGCUUGCUUCCAGUGGUUGCAACUAUCCGUUGCUUUGAUUUUGGUGUAUUUAGAAAAAGAACUGGGGAAUGCAGAAAGGGAAAUGUGUCAGGCUUACAGGAGAAAAUUGUUUCUUUAGAAAUGCAACAGGCAGGCACACCACCAAAAGCAUGUUCCAUAAAAGAAAACAAAUAAAUUUGAUUUUGUGAAACUUAAGAAUGCAGUGCUCUUUGAAACUCUAAAAUAUACUUAAAUAAAUUCUCCCCUAGGAAGAUUUGUGGGAACUUUUUAUUGGUGGAAAGUAGGUUGGAACUUCUAGUAUUAAUAGUAAAACUCUGUGGCAGAAAUUCUUGCCAAUAUGGCGGUUGGUGAGAAAGGAAUCCCGUUUCUUGGGCAGGGAGAGGGUCAGAAGAAAGAAUUGUCUGUACUCAGUCUGGAUGCCGGGACUUAAAAAGUAUCAGAUAUACAAUGCUUUUGUUUUCUUGUAUAAGUGAACAGAGAGAUGUGACACUUCUAAAAGGUCUUGUGAGUUUUGUGGGUUUAAUGCUAAUGCCACUAUCCUUACUGUUCUGUGAGUAUUUGUUCAGCCACGGGUGAUUCAAGAGAGUUGGGGUAUCAGCAUGUGCAGCCAACAGCAGUCCAGGUGCUAAUGCACCACCGGUGAUGUCAGGAGUUACGAGACAGCGGUUUCCAAACACUGCAGUAAACAAGGUCAAAGUGUCCCGUUUCGCUGGAAGAAGUUUUGUUUUUAUGAGCUGGACAGUACAUGGAUGAAGUAAUUUUUCAAAACAAACUUUAAAUUUAUACAUGUGUUUUUUUUCUUCUUCUCUUUGGAUUAAAAUAAAUUGGCCCGUUGAGAUUAAAUAAUGGUUAUGUUUUUAAGCAGAAUUAUAUUUCAUAUGUUUUUCCAGUCUUUUAUUGAUUUUCUGUUUUUCACAGAAGAAAUGAAAAUAACUUCUGAUGUAGGGUUUCUUAAAUGCAGUUUGAGAGAGCAAGAUAGGAACCAGUACUUUCAAAAUAUGGCAAGUGCAAGUCACAAUCCCUAGUAAGAUAUUCCUUCUCAUUUUGUGCCUUUGACUCUUAUUUAGACAGACGUUUAAGUACGAGAAAGCUAAUGGCGCAGAUUCUGCUGACUGUGUGGCUCUCGUCUUAAUGCGUUUUCCAACCUUGAACCUGAGAAUGCCAGAGGAUUGAGUCUCUGGACGUUCAUCUGAGCAGAUAUCUGCUGGCCGCCUGGUUCCUGAGCUAACAAGUGGGUGUCCCGGGCUUGUGUGUGUAGUCACAACAGUGGAGGUGCCACGUGGCACCCAGAGGUCGACUGGGGCUACCGCGGGGCUUCCCGAUCCUCACAAGUGUGUCUUCAGUGUCUGACAUGAACUGGGAACUUGGGGCAUCUUUAGAAGCACAGACAUUUGGAGUUCCACGGCAAACCUGGAUGUAAGCACUCACACAGCUUUUAAAGUGAAAGCAGGGACCUUGAGGAAGGAAUCGCCGUCAUCUCAUUGCCGACCUGCUUACUGUGCUGGGAAACAAAGUGCAGGUCUUCUGAACAAAUGCCUCCUGAGGAUUUCUGUGCCUGGAAAAUAUCUGUUAACAGACUGCUUUUACACCUACUUUGUAUUUUUAUAGAGACGAGACUUCACCAUGUUGGCCAGGAUGAUCUCAAUCUCUUGACCUCGUGAUCCGCCCAUCACAGCCUCCAAAAGUGCUGGGAUUACAGGCGUGAGCCACCGCACCCGGCCUAUUACCCUCAUUUUACAGAUGAGGAGACUGAGGCACAGAGAGUUAAAGUGAUUUGUGCAGGGUUGUGUGAGGAGCUGGUGGCAGAGCUUGGCAUUCUGGCUCUGGAGUCUGCAUUUGGCCAUCUCACCGUACAGUGUCAUAGAAACAGGAAACUCGAGAAGAUAAACUGCCAGGCUGUAUUUUGGAGUCAGUAUUUUAACACUGUCACCAUCUCAAGCAUGAUCUGUGGGACUCAUCACUGUGCUCUUUGACUUGAACUUCUUUAAGGUUAGUGGGAAAAUGAAGCUUUAGAGAAGAUGGGACUGGCCUAAGGUCACACUGCAUGUCAGAAGUGUGGUGGAGGGUCCAGGUCUUCUGACCAUUCAGUGCAAGCCAAAUUGUGCUAAUUUCCAAUUUUUCUCCCUUUCUCUUGGUGAGCUAUUUGGUGCUACUUCUACUCCUCAUGACCAAAGCUGGCUUUCAUGGUUUACUCAUGUACUUACUGAUGAAACCCUGAGACUUGGGGCCAGUGACUGUUCAGAGGUCCAUGUGAAGAUGCGCUGAAUGGUAUAAAGGACAGAGCAGUAAAGAGUGCUGGCUGAAUGCCUGGGCUGGCAAUCAGGCAUGUUGGAGUUUGAGUCCCAGUCUGCCACUCCAGCUCUGUGACCAAGAGGAAGUGAAGUCAUGUACCCUUUCUAAGUCUCUAGCCCCUCUUCUGAAAGACGAAGAUGCCACCACCAACCAUGUUAGUGGUUGUGAAUGCCAAGAAAGUCCAUGUGAAGCACAUAGCAUAGUGUCUGCCAUGCGUUAAGUGUUCCAAAAAUGGAAGCUAUGACUAUUUCACAGAGUACACUUCCCAUCACUUUUCAGUUCAUUUUGGCCUUCUCCCUCAAAAGCACUCCAGUGUUCUGAUCCAGCUGAUAAAACACCAAACAUUCACAUAGUGCUUUAAAAGUGACCCACUGUUUUUACAGACUGCAUUACAUAUGACCCUAACAACCACUGCAAUAUAGAAAUUCGCAUCUCCAUUCUCCAGAUCAGGAUACCGAAGCUCAGAAAAAUUAAAUGAUUUGCCCAGGAUCACAUAGUUAGUAAGCAGCCCAGCCAGAUCCUGUGUUAACUUGUUCAUCCGCUUCCUAUAAGAAAACAUCCAUUCAAGGCACAUGGGGCAACAAAGAAGGACUUAGAGCUGUGUGGCCCCUCGUCAGGGCAGUACCAGUUGCACCCAUAGUCCGGCCUGAAUACUCAGCUUAGGACUAUUGUGUCCAAUGUCCCAAACAUUUUGAAGCUACAUCUUAAAGAAGUGUCCUGCUCAGAUGCAGUUCUCCUUGUGAAAUCCGCAGGCCCCAAGGAAAGUGACUUUAAUCCAGUUUGCUCAUGCAAGAACAGACUGGCAUUUCACAUCCAGGAAAACAAUGGAUUUGUACUGUUCAGCUUUUGCCAUGCAAGGAGUUCCUGGUGUGGUUUAUUAAUUUACAUCUCAGGCUCCAGCUUCACUAUCAAUCAGAUUUGGAAGAAAAAAGUUACAAAGAAAGGCAGCUUGCUGAGAAACAGCGGAAGCAUGACGGUACAGACUGGGUUUUGAAAUGGAGACACAUUCUCAUGGCUUGUGGGCUGAGAGACACUGAGAAAGGAUUUUGUUCUUGAAAGAUGAUUGUUUUAAUGCUGGAGAUGGAGAGUUUUGACAAUUUUAAGUGCAUGUUCUGUGUGUAAGAAAGAGUCAUUACGUUUUUUUUUUCUUUCAGAUGUUGCCAUGCCUUAAAAUUGCUGAUGAUUAAAAUAGAACAUCCUGAGUUACAGAAAUUCAGCCCUAGUGUAUCCUGGCCUAAAAAUACAGAACAAUCAAGUUGAUUGUUGGAAAUGAGAGGCUAGGCAGGGUUGGAAACAUGCUAAUGUUUACUGAGUGAAAUCUUUCCUUCUCAGUAGAGUUGCCCUUGCAGCUGAAAGUCACUGAAAGACUCAACAAAAUAAGCAGAUCCCACUUGUCUCACUCUGUUCUCCUAUGCAUGCCCUGGAAAGAGAAUGAAUGAGCCCUUUUUAAUUUAUCAACUGGUUUUCUUCCAUCUCUUUACUAGUGAGCCAUGGGGGUUUUUUGCCGUUAACUGGGUAGCCAGUCUCUUCAUGGAGACUUAUUUUCAGGAAACUAGCCUCUUGCUUUAUGUGAAAACAAGGACCCAACUCAAGAUGUCUUAUCACAGUGUGUUCUGUUGCGUAACAGUUGCAUCUGUAGUCCAGCCUCAAUACUCAGGUUGGGACUGUUUUGUCCUGAUGUCUCGAACAUUUCAAAGCUACGUUCUUAAAGAAAUGUCCUGCUCAGAUAGAGCUCUCCUUGUGAAAUCCUCAAACCCCAGGGGAAGUGACCUUAAGCCAGUUUGCUGGCUUUUCAUGUCACAGAAAACAAUCGACUGCCACUACUCAGCUGUUGCCACACAGGAGUACCUGGCGUGGUCACUACUUGCCAACUCAGUACCCCACUUUCUCCCCAAGGACAUAAAAGCAAUGUGGGAAGAUAUACCAAAUGACCUUGUCACACUGGGCUAAUAUGAAGAGCCCACAGAUGCAAAAUAAUGUAUCAUACCUUUAUUCUUCUGAUUUUUUUUUUUUUUUUUUUUUUCGGAGACAGUCUCACUCUUUUGCCCAGGCUGGAAUCCAGUGGCGCGAUCUUGGCUCACUGCAACCUCUGCCACCCGGGUUCAGGCAAUUCUCCUGCCUCAGCCUCCCGCCCAGCUAAUUUUUGUAUUAUUAAUUAGUAGAGAGAGGGUUUCACCUUCUUGGCCAGGCUAGUCUUGAACUCCUGACCUCGUGAUACACCUGCCUUGGCCUCCCAAAGUGCUGGGAUUACAGGCGUGAGCCACCGUGCCUGGCCUUUUUUUUUUUUUUUUUUUUUUUUUUUUGAGAUGGAGUCUGGCUGUAUUGCCCAGGCUGGAGUGCAGUGGCAUGAUCUUGGCUCACUGCAACCUCUGCCUCCCAGGUUCAAGUGAUUCUCCUGCCUCAGCCUCCUGAGUAGCUGGGAUUGCAGGCAUCCCAUACCCGGCUAAUUUUUUUGAAACAGAGGCUUGCUCUGUCACCCAGGCUGGAGUGCAAUGGCACGAUCUCAGCUCAGUGCAACCUCCGCCUACUGGGCUCAAGCAACUCUCCUGCCUCGGCCUCAGCCUCACUACAGGCAUGUGCCACCACGCCUGGCUAGUUUGGUUUUUUUUUUUUGUAUUUUUUUAGUAGAUAUGGGGUUUCACCAUGUUGGCCAGGUUGGUCUCAAACUUCUGACCUCAAGUGAUCUGCCUGCCUCAGCCUCCCAAAAUGCUGGGAUUACAGGUAUGAGCCACCACGCUUAGCCUUCUGCUGAAUUUUUGAGAAGCAUACAUAAAGACAAUGUAAAAAACUUAGCAUAUUUGUUUGGCCCUGCUAAGGGCAUGGUUGAAUAUAUAGUGUGUGUGAUGUAUUUGGUGUAUGAGAUAUAUAUGAUCUUAUCAGACAUAAGUAAAAGAAAUUCAUUCUUCAGGAAAAAUUUUCCCCAUAACUGAAGUGUCAAUCAUUUGAAAAAACUUCUAGGCAGUAGGCAAACACUGUGACUAGUUAUUUAUCAAAAAUAAGCAGACUUUAGAGUUUUGUAACUGAUGAGAAUAAUCUGGCUGCUUCUUUUGUACUUCAGUCACUGAUACUGCGAAUUAGAGUAGCAUAUACAGAAGGAUGCAGGGGGUCCCUAAAGGAAUCACAGAAUUAGUGAAACCAUUAUUUGAGAGUUGCAGUGAUUCUUCUGUCCUGGCACUUUUCCCAGUUUUGGUGCUUAAAUUUACUAUCCACUUGAAAUGUGUCACUGCCUGUCACUUCACAAAGUAUGUGCCUUUCACUGCAGUCAACAAGCUGUUUACAUCUUUGAUGAAAUGAUUGCCACGCAUCUCCAUAGCCCUGGUGUUCUAUUCCCUUAUUCACAGAGAUUUUUUUUAAAAACCAGCCUAGCAGCAAUAGGUAUGUGCUGUGGAUGCUUCUCCAUGAUGAUAAAGGAUGAGUUUGUGCUGGGAUCUCCUUAUGAAAAGAUAACUGGCCAAGCCCAUGAGGAACAAGAAUGUUAUGCUAAUCAGACCCAAGGUAAACAGCCUGCAGUGCACCUCCUGACUGAUUAGCACUGAACCCACUUGGAAUCAUCAACCACAGGCACGUGGUAAUUGGAUGUUCUUCUAAUACACAUAGUGAGAUUGUAAAAUGAGGAUGAUAUAUGAGGAAAGUCAGACGGAGAAACUAAAGUUCAGUUCUUAAAUACAAGCCAAGGGAACAGACUAAGUGAAUGGUACAGCCAGGAUUGGAGCCUGGUUUUCACAAGGUGGUAUGUCAUGAUAAAACAAGCCAAAGAAAAGGUUGGGUAGUGUUUUGAGGCUAAAAGAGACCAAAGAGUCUUAGUGAAUCAACCUUGAUGCGAUCUGGGUUUGAAAAACCUAUAAAAAACCUUUUGUUUGGAGAAAGUGGGAGAAGUUGGAUGUAGGCUGGAUAUUUGUGGGUACCAAGGAAUUGUUUGUUUUCUUAGGUAUGGUAAGAUUUUGUGGUUAUGUAGAAGAGUGUCUUCAUUUUAUAGAACGACCUCAAAGUAGUUAGGAGCAGUGUAUGUAUGGGUGGUUAUCAAUUUACUUUCAAACAAUGCAGCAAAAAAUAUGUAUCUAUAUUACAUAUAAUUAAAGCAAAACAUGAUAAAAAGGAAUAGUUAUUGAAUUUAGAUAGUAUGGAUUUAGGAAUUCAUUGUAUUGUCAUUCCAAUUUAAUGUAUAAAAUUUUUUAUAACAGUUUAUAAAAACAGUGCACACCCCUUUAAUUAGGUGGCCUGGGUACAUGAAGUAUCUUUUUGGAUGCCUAGAACACAAAAAGGGACGACAACAGGCCACCUAAUAAGAUGAUACCAAGAACUAUACCAUGACGGCGAAAAAGAACUGCUGCAAAAAAUAAUUUGCCAAGGAGAACUCAGAGUACAAAGCCUUACCUUUGGAGUAGAGGGAAGGAGAGUCUUAAGUAAAGCUCACAAAAACCCCUAACUCAUAGAUGCAGUCUAAGGAAUUCAUUCCGGAAGCGACAUUAGCAUCUCAUUAGUGCCAUUAUGUGACUUACUUGGCCUCUGAGCUAGUCUAUUUUCUUCCCUAGACCCCAAAAUCUCAGUAAUCCUUUGGAUCCAAGUUAUCUCCAAGUGAAAAUAAUAGGUUUAGGAAAGCGUUUUUCUUCAACUUCUAUGGAGCACUUGCUUGCUUUGUCCUAUUUGCAUGUCCGACGGACGGUUCUCCAGCACCACUGCUAGUCGUCCUCCGCCUGCCUGGGUACUUGAUCACAGGAUGCCUCUGACUUCUCCUGCCUUUACCCAAGCAAAGGAUUUUCCUUGUCUUCCCACCCAAGAGUGACGGGGCUGACAUGUGCCCUUGCCUCUAAAUGAUGAAGCUGAACCUUUGUCUGGGCAACUUAACUUAAGAAUAAGGGAGUCCCAGGCAUGCUCUCCCAUCAAUAACAAAUUCAGUGACAUCAGUUUAUGAAUAUAUGAAAUUUGCCAAAGCUCUGUUUAGACCACUGAGUAACUCACAGCUAGGUUUCAACUUUUCCUUUCUAGGUUGUCUUGGGUUUAUUGUAAGAGAGCAUUAUGAAGAAAAAAAUAGAUCAUAAAGCUUCUUCAGGAAGCUGGUUUCAUAUGGUGGUUUAGAUUUAAAUAGUGAUUGUCUAGCACCAUUUGAAAUCAGUGUUCUUGGGGGAGACCAGCUGCGCUGCACUACCAACAGCAAAAGAAGUGAAUGGGACAGCUCUGAAGUAUUUGAAAGCAACAGCAGGAUGGCUGUGAGAACCUGCCUCACAUGUAGCUGACCCCUUCCUCACCCCUGCCAACAGUGGUGGCAUAUAUCACAAAUGGCAGUCAGGUCUCUGCACUGGCGGAUCCAACUGUGAUCGAAAGUUUUCCAAAAAUAAGUUGUGUCUGUAUUGAACAUGAACAGACUUUCUUCUUGUCAUUAUUCUCUAACAAUACUGCAUAACAAUUAUUUGCAUACAUUUGCAUUGCAUUAAGUAUUCUAAGUAAUCUAGAGACGAUUUAAAGUAUACGGGAGGAUGUGUGUAGGUUGUAUGCAAAUACUACACCAUUUUCUAUCAGAGACUUGAGCAUCUGUGGAUUUUGGUAUCCAAGGGGCUUUCUGGAACCAAUCCCUCAAGGAUACCAAGGGAUGAAUGUAAUUGUACAGGAUAUCGCAUUGUUGGAAUUUUAUACUUCUUUGUGGAAUAAACCUAUAGCACUUAAUAGAUAGUACAGACUCAUUCCAUUGUGCCUGGGUUAAAGAGCCCAAUGUAUGCUGGAUUUAGUAAGAUUUGGGCCCUCCCAACCCUCACGACCUUCUGUGACCCCUUAGAGGAUGACUGAUUUCUUUUGGUGUUCAGAGUCAAUAUAAUUUUCUAGCACCAUCUGAAAUCGGUUAUAAUGAUUGGGGAAGAGCACCAUGAUGCUGACUGCUGAGAGGAAAUGUAUUGGUGACCGUUGGGGCCAUGGACAAGAACUAAGAAAACAAAUGCAAAGCAAUAAUGCAAAGGUGAUUUUUCUUCUUCCAGUUUCUAAGUUGAAUUUCACUGACCUGAAUUGCAUGUGGUAUAAUACUAACAAAUGGUUCACUAUUAGCAUAUCAUGAAUGGUUAUACUUUAUAGAAAUUCCAUAGACUUGGUGGGGGUUUUGUUUUGGUGACGGAUACCUAGAAACACUCCUGGGGAAAAUCGAUGACUGGCUUAGAUGAUGGGAAAGGAGCAGCGAGGGAGUCAAUUCUGUUGUUGAUGAGAAGCUGCACCAGCUAUCUCUGAACUCUCCUCUCUUAGCUGGCUGAGGAGUUCCCUCCAUGGUUAAACAGGUCAUUUUCUUACAUAAGGAAAAAUGGUCCAGAGAAACUGGGUUUCUAUGGCUGAGACAGAACUGUGCUAAUAUGUGUCAGUUCAGUUUAGAAGGCAAAGCAACAAAAGCAGGUGCUACUUGAACUAGGAUCCUAGAGUAUACCUUUGAUAUGGUUUGGAUGUUUGUCCCCUCCAAUCUCAUGUUGAAGUGUGAUCCCCAGUAUUGGGGGUGGGGCCUGGUGGGGGUGGUUGAGUGAUGGGGCGGAUCCCUUGUGAAUGGCUUGGUGAUGUCCUCACUUAACGAGUUCCUGCUCAGUUAGAGGGAGCCGGUUGUUUAAAAAAGCUGGCACCUCCUUCCUCUCUCUUGCUCUUUCUUUCUUGCUCCCUCUCUCGCCAUGUGACAUGUCUGCUCCCUCUCCGCCUUCCACCAUGUAUAAAACAUCCUGAGGCCUCAUCAGGAGCCGAGCAGGUACCAGUGCCAUGCUUGUACGGCUGCAAAACUGUAAGCCAAAUAAACCUCUUUACUAUAUAAAUUACCCAGUCUCGGGUAUGUCUUUAUAGCAGCGCAAAACGGACUAACACAACCUCACUAGAAGUGAAGUCAUUAGACCAAAAACAAUACUGAGUUUUUAGGUCCACUAAGAGGCAAAAAUAAAAGGCUCUUUAUAGCAGCAUGAUUUAUAAUCCUUUGGGUAUAAGCACAUGUAUGCUAGAACUUAAAGUAUAAUAAUAAAAUAUAAAAAUAAUAAAAUAAAAUAAAAGGCUCAAGAAUGAGCCAUCUCGGCCGCUCCUCCUCCAGGGGCCCCUGUGUGCAGCUCCCAACACAGGUACUGCACAGACCGGCCACCUGCUGUCCCCAUGUGGCGUCCUGGAGAACUGCAGGGGCACCUGGUGGAAUUUGGGCCUUGUCCUUCUGUUUUCUUUCUGGCCUGGAAAAGCCACUGGCCUCACAAUCAAGAGUUAAUAUUCUAUCUACCCUGCUUAAGCUUUCCCGCCCUCUCACACUGCCUCCCUCCUUUUCCCUCCUGCCUGUCACUUGUCUGGAAAAGGCCUUUUCUCCUCGGGGCUAACACAUGCAAUUUGUAGCCAAAACAUUCUGUCUACCACACAAAUCCAACGAGAAUCAGGAUCAUUCCACCACAUCUUUUUCUAUCCCAUGGUUAUUAUUUUCCCAAAACUCUUGUCUUUUGCUUUCUUACCUAUUCGCUGUUUUCCCUAAGUAAUCUUAUUUACUCCCCUGGUUCCAAAUACAUCCCUAUGUGUUGAUUUCCCUCAAACCAGAGGUCUGGCCUGGGAUAUUUUUUGAGACAUCUUGCUUUUUAUAUUUUUAGUAGCUCCUAAGUAUAAUAGUUCAGCCUGCUCUUCUAAACUUGUCUCAAUUUAAUCCAUUUAUGCUUGAGGUUGCAAUUUUUUGAAUUUUUGCCAUCAGACCUUGGCAAUGACCUUGAGCAGUAGGAGACAACUCCCACAUGCUUAGCAUUCCAAUAAUGGAACACUAGGCAUAUACCAAAGCCAUCCACAUUGCCUUCUCCCCAAAGCCAGCUCUCCCUGCUCUGCCCCAUGGUGAAAGCUGCGAACACCAGAGGUCUGUGACCUCUUCCCUCUCCCUUACCCACAUCCAUACUCAGCACAACUUGUUGCUGUUCUCUCUCAAUUCUCUCUUUAGGAUCCAUCCCUUUCUCUGCUCUUCCUAGACAGCUUUCUGGGCCCACCCCUCGCCAUUAGUCUAGCUUUGUUAUAGCCACCAGUUAAUCUUUGUAAAAUACAUACGUGAGCUGGGCACGGUGGCUGGUGCCUGUAAUCCCAGCUACUCAGGAGGCUGGGGCAGGAGGUUGCUUGAGCCCAAGAGGUUGAGGCUGCAAUGAGCCAUGAUUGCAUCACUGCACUCCAGCCUGGACGACAGACCAAGAUCCCAUCUCUUUAAAAAAUAAAAAUAAAAAUUGUUUAACCACAUGACCUUGCUCCUUGUCCCUCACUUUUAGCUGAACUCUUAUAAGUGUGUCAACCAGGUACCAGACCCUUCAUGACCCCAUGCCUACCUGUGUCACCAUCUUCUGGCUGUGCUUCCUGGGGCCUGUGUUCUGUGCUCACCCAGCUGCUUGCUGCUGAGAACACUCAGGUAUCUUGGCAUUUCUUAGCCUGUGUCUGUGCUAUUUCCUCUGCCCACAUCUCCCCUCUCCUCCUCCUCGUCAGCUAGGGACCUCCAGCCCCUAGGGACUGUAAGCUAGGGACCUCCAACCUGCAGCCCCUGGCUCAGGUGUAAACUUGUCUAGGAAGCCUUCCUCUGCCUUCUGCAUCAAGGCUUAGAUCCCUGGGCAAAGGCUUUCUUCUCUGUACCCCUUCAGAGCCUGAUGGCACUUCGCAUGUUAUAUUCUCAUGAUUGAUUACCUACUAGGCUUCUCUGCAAGGCUGGAAAAUCCUUGCUCCUAGGAGGGACGGUAGACAAGAACAAGACAUACUGUGUACACUCCAUUCUUACAUUCCACGUGAGCUAUCCUUUGUGUAGGUGUCUGUGGCAAAUCUUCCUUCUAGGCUGCAGCCUCUACUUUUCAUAGUUUCUCUCCAUUUUCAUCUGCCAUGUGCAUGAGGAAUAAAAACUACUUCCAAUGAUGACCAAAAUAAGAUGGAAGAAAAUAACCCUGCUUCAAAGAACAUUUCUGAGACCAUAAAUAUGAUUUUGAUGUAUCUUCCAUUAUGGAUUACCCAUGUGGUUUUUUUUUUCCUUCUAAAUGCAUAAACAGGAAUUGUUUAAUAGGCUAGAGAGCCAUGAAAAGCAAAAUAAUUAAGGAUUGUUGUCCUCAUUUCAUAGAAGAGCAAACAAAGACAGAAAAACAGAUGUGCCUUAACCAAAAAGGGCAGUAAAUUUAUGCAAAGCAGACUGAACCCCCAUUAAAAGUAAUCAUUUACAGCGACCAAGGGCCAAGCACGUGAUCACCACCCUCCUCUCCCAAUAGCUCUGAAGGGUGGGUAGUAUUUCCCCAGCUUAUGCACGAGGAAACAGAUGCACAGGAAAGUCAAGUAACUUGCCUGCAAUGCCACGGCUAGUCAACAUGAGAGUUUGAAUUACAAAUCAGGUGGCGGUGGCGGUGGUGAUGAUGAUGAUAAUAGCAGCUUAUCAUCAUCAUUGAGCUCUUAUUUUGUGUUAGAUACUUGGUAAGUAUUUUGCAUGAAUUAGCUCAUUUAGUCUGACUUUCAAAACAGCCCUUUGAGGUCAGUGUUAUUAUCAUCAUUCCCAUUUUGCCAUGAAGAAACAAAAGAAUUAAAUAAUCCAAGAUCGUCUAACUGACAUUUCCAAGCAGGAGCACAAACCCAGAUCUCUGUGAUUCCAGAGCCUGUGCUCUUAAAUCAGCACUGCUCAUUUCAGUGUGGGAGAUGGCGUAAAUGGGUGUGUUCACUUGCUGGGCAGCCUCAUCUGUGGUCCCCUUGAUCCCCACCUACUGGCAUUCAUGCCCUGUGCUAUUCCCUCCCCUGGAGUGUGGACUGGACCUAGUAAUUUGCUUCUAAUGGAUGGAAUAUGUCAAAAGUGAUAGAUGUCACUUCUGAGACUAGGUUACAAAUAGACUGUGAUUCUGUUGUCUUCUUCCUCAGGCUUGCACCCUCACGACAUGCUCUCUCUCUCUCCCUCUCCUCUUUUCUCUCUUCUCUCCCUUCUCUCCUCUCUCUUAUCUCUCUCUUCUCUCUCUCGUACACAUACUCUGGAAAGCCAGCUACCAUACUGGGAACUGCCCAAUGGAGAGGCCCACAUUCCACAAGGAACUGAUGUCUUCAGCCAAUACCUCGCCAGGACCUGAGGCCUGCUGAGAGUCACGAGUGGCCUUCGUGGGUCCUCUCUCAACGAGCUUGCAGGUGACCACUGCGCCAGCCAAAACCUUGAUGGCAGCCUAUGAAUGCUGGUGGGAUGGAGCUGCAGUUUGUGUCUCUGAAGCAGAUUAAACACUGUCUGCCCCAGCCUGUCUUAACUAUCUUCUCACUGGUUAACAGUCCUUGGAAGAAUAAACAAUCCACACAAGCUCUCAGAAAGCAGAAGUUCCAUGAUUCGUGACCAGAGUCUCAUAGCACAGAAUUCAUCUCUAAAAACAGG
rnacentral:lncRNA from 1 species